UACCAUGGCAAGAUUCCUCUUCUAGGAAGCCCUUCCAAAUGGUCACAAUCAAAGCAAAAUAUGGCUCCGCGGACAUAAGGACCGUUCCCUCCAAACCCUGAAGGUCAACAUGCAGUCUGUCGAGAUGCAUUUCUACUUGGGUUUGAUCCACCACCACUAGUAGACAUCCUAUUACCAUGAAAAAACAUAAGGAGAAGCUGAGUGCGUGUUGUGAACAGCAAAUCAAGCAGGCAUAUGUGGUGAAGAUGAGGGAUAGAGACAUGGCCAAUUGCAAUGUUGUCUGGCCCUUGGCAGAGGAAAAAGCUGAUCAGGAUUAAAAGGGACAUGGGAACUGGAGAGAGACCGACCUCCAACUUUCCUGACCCCAAAGAGCAGCCAGAGUCCUUCAUUUUAUGCCUGGUUCCCGAGUUUCCGAACCCUGACCCUUUUAUGAAAAUGUGUAUUUACCUGGGCUCCUCCAGGUUGGCGAGCUGGUAAAGCAUGUCAAAUACGUUGCAUACAAGUGCCAUGACAACACCUGGGAGGGACUUCUCCUGAGGAGAAAGCAAAAGACAUAACCAUAGAUAUUGAAUAAAAGAUUUCUCUUU